rnacentral:rRNA from 1 species
UUAAAUUGAAGAGUUUGAUCAUGGCUCAGAUUGAACGCUGGCGGCAGGCUUAACACAUGCAAGUCGAGCGGUAGCACAGAGAGCUUGCUCUCGGGUGACGAGCGGCGGACGGGUGAGUAAUGUCUGGGA